rnacentral:rRNA from 1 species
AGUCGUGGGGCAGCAGGCUACUACCUUCGGGUAGUAGUGCUGGCGACCGGCAAACGGGUGAGUAACACGUAGCUUUACCUACCCCAGGGUUGGGGAUAACCUCCCGAAAGGGUGGCUAAUACCCAAUAAUGAGGAAACUCCAAAGCCGCAAGGCGCCCUGGGAUGGGGCUGCGUCCCAUCAGGUAGUUGGUGAGGUAACGGCUCACCAAGCCUACGACGGGUAACCGGUCUGAGAGGAUGACCGGUCACAGUGGGACUGAGACACGGCCCGCACCCCUACGGGGGGCAGCAGUGGGGAAUAUUGGGCAAUGGCCGAAAGGCUGACCCAGCGACGCCGCGUGGCGGAUGAGGCCCUUCGGGGUGUAAACGCCUUUUCUUGGGGAAGACAAUGACGGUACCCAAGGAAAAAGGGACGGCUAACUACGUGCCAGCAGCCGCGGUAAUACGUAGGUCCCGAACGUUGCGCGAAAUUACUGGGCGUAAAGGGUCCGUAGGCGGUCUAUCAAGUGGAAGGUGAAAUCCCAUGGCUCAACCAUGGAACUGCCUUCCAAACUGAUAGACUUGAGGGCGGAAGAGGUCGGCGGAAUUCCCGGUGUAGCGGUGAAAUGCGUAGAUAUCGGGAGGAACACCAGUAGCGAAGGCGGCCGACUGGGACGCACCUGACGCUGAGGGACGAAAGCUAGGGGAGCAAACCGGAUUAGAUACCCGGGUAGUCCUAGCUGUAAACGAUGGGUGUUAGAUGUGGGGUGC